GAUGAACGCUGGCGGCGUGCUUAACACAUGCAAGUCGAACGGAAAGGCUCCUGCUUGCAGGGGUACUCGAGUGGCGAACGGGUGAGUAACACGUGGGUGAUCUGCCCUGCACUUCGGGAUAAGCCUGGGAAACUGGGUCUAAUACCGGAUAGGACCACAUUUUGGAUGGUGUGGUGGAAAGUUUUUCGGUGUGGGAUGAGCUCGCGGCCUAUCAGCUUGUUGGUGGGGUAAUGGCCUACCAAGGCGUCGACGGGUAGCCGGCCUGAGAGGGUGUACGGCCACAUUGGGACUGAGAUACGGCCCAGACUCCUACGGGAGGCAGCAGUCGGGAAUAUUGCACAAUGGGCGCAAGCCUGAUGCAGCGACGCCGCGUGGGGGAUGACGGCCUUCGGGUUGUAAACUCCUUUCGCUAGGGACGAAGCGCAAGUGACGGUACCUGGAGAAGAAGCACCGGCUAACUACGUG
rnacentral:rRNA from 1 species